UACGUAGGGCGCAAGCGUUAUCCGGAAUUAUUGGGCGUAAAGAGCUCGUAGGCGGUUUGGUAGGUCCGCUGUGAAAACUCGAGCUCAACCUCGAGACGCCGGUGGAAACCAUCAGACUAGAGUCCGGAAGAGGAGAGUGGGAAUUCCUGGUGUAGCGGUGAAAUGCGCAGAUAUCAGGAGGAACACCGGUGGCGAAAGCACUCUGCUGGGCCGACACUGACACUGAGAGACGAAAGCUAGGGGAGCGAAUGGG
rnacentral:rRNA from 1 species